CAGUAGCCGCGGGAAUACGUAGGGUGCAAGCGUUAAUCGGAAUUACUGGGCGUAAAGCGUGCGCAGGCGGUUAUAUAAGACAGAUGUGAAAUCCCCGGGCUCAACCUGGGAACUGCAUUUGUGACUGUAUAGCUAGAGUACGGCAGAGGGGGAUGGAAUUCCGCGUGUAGCAGUGAAAUGCGUAGAUAUGCGGAGGAACACCGAUGGCGAAGGCAAUCCCCUGGGCCCAUAACUGACGCUGAGGCACGAAAGCGUGGGGAGCAAACAGGAUUAGAUACCCGAGUAGUCCCUGUCUCUUAUA
rnacentral:rRNA from 1 species